rnacentral:rRNA from 1 species
GACGAACGCUGGCGGCGUGCUUAACACAUGCAAGUCGAACGGAAAGGCCCUGCUUUUGUGGGGUGCUCGAGUGGCGAACGGGUGAGUAACACGUGAGUAACCUGCCCUUGACUUUGGGAUAACUUCAGGAAACUGGGGCUAAUACCGGAUAGGAGCUCCUGCCGCAUGGUGGGGGUUGGAAAGUUUCGGCGGUUGGGGAUGGACUCGCGGCUUAUCAGCUUGUUGGUGGGGUAGUGGCUUACCAAGGCUUUGACGGGUAGCCGGCCUGAGAGGGUGACCGGCCACAUUGGGACUGAGAUACGGCCCAGACUCCUACGGGAGGCAGCAGUGGGGAAUAUUGCACAAUGGGCGGAAGCCUGAUGCAGCAACGCCGCGUGCGGGAUGACGGCCUUCGGGUUGUAAACCGCUUUCGCCUGUGACGAAGCGUGAGUGGCGGUAAUGGGUAAAGAAGCACCGGCUAACUACGUG